rnacentral:rRNA from 1 species
AUGCUUUCAAUGAGCUUGGUUGACAAAACAGAUUCAUAUUUCUAUGCAAAAUGUGAUGCGAAAAAUAAUCACCGCAACAACACUUUAGCAGUAAAACACAUAAAAGAUCCCAGUCAGUACCUUCACAUGGUUGGCGGCGUCGAGGGCGAACCGAUGAUAAAUUCCAGCCGGCAGCACGAUGAUAUCCCCUUCUUUUAUCCAGAUCCGAACCCACUUGUCAUCCUUGUCGCGCACAUCAAAGUACCCGCCGCCUUCCAAGUUGUAGCGGAUCUCUUCGUCGGCAUGCAUGUGCUCUGUGAAGAAGUUCUUGAGCUUCUCCUCAAAGUUUGCUAA